AAAUAUCAUGGUGAGCACAUAGCGAACUAUUCUUUCGCCUUUUACUAAAGAAUACCAUGUGCUCGCCGCAAUACAAGCAGCAUACUCCUCUUUUUGGAGGGUUAUUUUUCUUUUGGAAU
rnacentral:snRNA from 1 species